GUCAGCACGAGUCAUCUGGUUCUAGUGACAAUGAAGACUGAGGUGUGUGCUUUGCGCUUUUUUUCUUUUCUUGUCUUUUUUUUUUUUUUUUUUUUUCCUAAUCAUGUGGACAUCUCUGAGAAUGAGGGGACUGGGUGACUUUACAGUGGCUGCUUUCUAAGUUUCAAAGUGACUUUCCAGGCAAGCUGCGCAUAUCUUGGGAUCUUCACAGCACAGUGGCUGGGAAGGCAGGCGAACUUGUCUAUCAGCUUCUCCCUGGUGAGAUUCUUGCGGGGGCAGGGAUUGAGUCAAACCUGGAAAUGACGUCAUUCUGAACUCAUCUGCCUUCAUCCAGAAGACUACCAAAGGGAACCAAAAGACCAGAGAACAGAAGCUGCUCUGGACAAAGAGGGGAGGACACCCCCCCCACCCACCCCCCACACACACCAAGUUCUGGUUGACUUCUACAGCAGUAGGAGCAGGAGACACCAGAAGUCUCCUCAGAAGGACAUUGAACAGCACGCCUGCAUCCUUUCUGUUCUGACACACUUGUUCCCUGAAUGACUUCUUUCUCAUCACCCACGACGUGCCAAGCGUGUCAUGUCUCAUAUCUGGACCAGGGACUUUGAGGAUCAUACCAACAGAGACUCAAACACCAUUUAAAGAAAGCCACAUCAGCUUUUAGAACUUGUCCCCCAAUGCAAAAUGCCAUCAACUCCACGGUAUUUAAAUCAUUGGAUGGUUUUGUUCUCAGGGCAAAGUUUCACUAAACUUUGUCAAACACUUCAGUAUAAGAGUGCAGACAGUGCUUGGUGUCUGGAUCUCAGCCUCCAGUGUAAUCAUGUUUGCAUGCUCAGGUGUCAGAAAACUCCCUCUGA
ensembl:processed_transcript